UUCCUGUGACUUGUUCCUGUCUGAGCCAAGUGGGAGUUUGCCUCUCUUUUCCCAGUGGAGCCGAAGCUGUUUCCUGCUGUUCUAGGAUCCUGGUAUUGAGAUCCUGCCUACUCUGUCUCCUAAUUUUAUCACCUAAUCAUGCUCCUGAGCCAAAGUCCUGACUGCUGUGAAGAGGAACUGCUGGCCAGCCAGUAACUGACUGCGGGAGAGGCCUGACGCCAUCUUGGGCCCAGGCCGAGGAGGGCUGAACUUGUCAAGAGUUGAAGCUGCUACUCUGACAAACUAGAAACUUAUUAUUUGGGAGGACUAGUCAGCUUCACCUUGACCUUAAGCAAUCCGCCAUCAUACACAUUGGGGAAUAAAAGGAGUAACUAUCUCAAGUUCAAGAAAGCUGACAACACAGAUGAAAUCAUAAGCAUAUGCUAAAGAGAGACAGAACCAGAAAGCCAGAGACAGAGUGACAGAGACGGACGUUCCUUCAAGAAGGAUGUGGAAGAUCUGUCUGUAUCUAUGGGAUCCUGGCAUGGGAAGUUUUUCAGGGAAAUUCCUUUGCUCCCUUCUAUCCUUGUGACUCCAAACCCCAAAACAUCUGAAAACUCCUAUAAGACCCUGAGAGGAUUCUCCUCCUUAGAUCAUCCUUUAGAUGGUCAGAGAGAGACAGCUCCAGGCUAAGCCUUGAUACCAUCAGAUUGUAUCUGUCUACCUGUCCUGUCCCCUAACCUAUGAGGGUCACCCCCUAUGUCUUCAGGCAGACACUGGCCAGAUGAUCAACCCCACCCUGCCCAUGCCUCAGUGCAUACCACCCUAGAGUCAGGUCUUCAGCAUGGCACAGAGUCAUGUCAUGUCAGCUGGGAGCAGCUCUCCAUCCAUGCUGUUUCCCCCUAGGGGUCAGUCUUCCACCUAUGCUGUCCUCCUGGCCAGGCUCAACAUUACCAUCUAAAUUAAUAAAUGUCUCUAUAUUUUUAAGCUCAGUUUCAGUCUUGCAUUCUUGCAAAAAGUUCCCUUCCCGAACCCUGGGGGUUCACCUCAAGCCCCCACAAUAAUCCCAGCAAGUGCAGCACAACAAAAACCUAAAUUGGGUCAGCUGAGAAACAGAACUUACACAUCAGCAGAAUAAUUCCAUCAAGAGAAGUAACUAAACAUCUACCUUCUCUGGAGAGGAAGAAAGUGUUCUAGGUAAGUGGCUGUAAUGCGAAAUUAUUGGAUCAAAGGUUGAUUUUCCAAAGUAAGAAAGAAUUAGUGAUCCCCUCUACAUAGAGGCUGACUUGGUGCUUAGCUACUUUAUACAAAGUAUUCCUAGCUUGAAUUGCAACUAACAGGAGCAGGAAAAGCUUUGUAUAGGAAGGGGAUAAUACAAAAGACCCUGGAAAAAUCUAAAGAUUCUAAAAAGAGUAGGUCUGAAGGGGAUAUCCAGUUUUUACCAAGGCUCCUGGAAACCUCUGUGUCUCACAACAGUGGUUGCUCUUCAAGACUCUGUGCUUAAGAAAGGACAAUAAAAGCAAAGAAAUAUGCUCCAAUGAGUAUUGAGUGGAACACGUCUCGUAACAAUGUACAGAUCCCUGGAAGUUCAAAUGAGUGGAACCUUCAUUUCAUUCCUGGCCAGGGCAUCUCCUAAUGAGAAAUGGGCUGAACAAAGGGUUGGCGCAGACUUUAGAGAAGUACAGAAGGACAGGAAAUCUUCCUUUGGUGCACACGCCAAAGGAAGGGACGGGAAGGUUCAAACAAAUUCAUACAUAUAUAAUUCCUUGUAGGGCUGAGCAAAUGCAAGCUAGCGGUAUCUUACAGCAGCAGAUGUUUUAUGCUUUUAGCGUUAUGGCAGGAGGGGUUACAUUUUAUUGCUAUCGGAGUCUUGACCUUAGGCUGACAUGGAUCUGGGUCUGAGUCUUUGUGGUUCCCUGGGAAGCUACAGGCUUGGGAAUAUCGGUUGGUUGUUUUUUGAUUUGUUUCUUUUUUCUACUUCCCUUCAGGCUUCCUACACAGCCCGAGUUUUUGUCUACUUCUGCAUAAAGAACAAUUAAUCAAUGAGCUAAAUUUUGAAAGCUGUCCCAGAACAUACAAUGUUCAGAAUGGCUUUGUUGAUUAUCACAACAUUUUUGUCUCAGUUCUACAGCGAUGGUUUAUUCACCUAAGCAUACUAUAUAAAUCUAAGUACGGGACGAAUGUUAAGAGUACGUAAUCUCUGCAUAGGAAAUGUCCCUACUUAAAAUGUCGUACCAACACAGGGAUAAAUAAUUGCUAUGAAACACGGUAUUUUUCAGGGAGACAGUAUAAGCCCUUUUCAUUUUCUCUCUCCUUAAAUCUAUUAUCUUUCCUCUUAAGUAGAACUAAGUAUAGUUUCCAAAUUAAAGGAGUCAAAGCAAAGCAUCUUAUUGUAUGGGUAGCAUCAAGCCAUAUGAUUACACUGAAAGACAAUUCAACUCUCAGCUCAACCAAAAACAAAGAAACAAAUUCAAAACAAAACAAAACAAAACAAAACAAAAAUAGCUCAACCAUCUUGUUGAAUCUUUCCCCCCCCAUUUGUCCUGAUUGCUAUUCUGCAUCUGGUAGAAUGGCUCACCCAGAGCUUGAGGGUUCAAAGGGUCUAUUUAAUAAAAAAUAUAUUCAAAUAACUCCCAGGAAAAAGUAGUCCCCAAGGUGAUUAGAAAUGAAGUUCAGGAAGUUAAAAGCAAAUGAAACACUGGGAAGAAGGUUAAAGACAUGACAAGGAAGUUCCUUGGGGUGUCUGUCAGGAGUUCUCAAGCAAAGUCCUAAAAGCUAGUUUUAUAUUCUUUUUUGGUUCAAAAGACCAACAGAUGGUUGAUUCCAGAUCAGUUCAGUCACAGUCAAAAUUAUCCUAUAAAUCAGUCUAGAGAAAAAUAAUUUAUUAAACACUAAUUACUGGGUAUUGGGUCAAAUGCAGGUGAUAACAAGCAUGUGCAGAAAGAAGAAUCAUCUGUGAUCUCAAGGAAUUUAUAUUUUAUCAGGGGGAGACAACAUGUAAUACAGAAGGAGUGGAAGAUUGCUGCAUGGGGACAUAGAGGUGAAAUCCAAAAGGGGAGGAGCAGAACUUGGAAAGGAAUAAGAGAUCACCGACCUGAGCCCUUCCUCACAAAGAAGGUGUCAGGAGUGACUCUUCAGUGAGAAAAGAGGACCUCAGAGGCAGAGGAGCUCUCCAAAAUGAGAAGCCUUCAAGGACAGAGGAAGGAGCCAGUGUAGGUAGGAUGGGAAAGGUCAGCAGGACAGGAACUUGAAGCUGCAAAGGCAGA